UAGCUCUGGUUUCUCUUAAGUCGUGCAUAAAUCUUUUGUCUUUUGCUAAAGAUUUUUGCGGAGAGGAACAUCAAUUAGCUUGAUGUGUUUUUAUGAGCUUUGCUCUGGCAAAGCU